rnacentral:rRNA from 1 species
GACGAACGCUGGCGGCGUGCUUAACACAUGCAAGUCGAGCGGAGCGGCGAACGGGUGAGUAACGCGUGAGUAACUGCCCCCCUCUCUGGGAUAACAGUUGGAAACGGCUGCUAAUACCGGAUAGUGGGGGAUGACUCGCGUCCUAUCAGCUUGUUGGUGGGGUAGUGGCCUACCAAGGGGACGACGGGUAGCCGGCCUGAGAGGGCGGCCCGCCAAAAUGGGCUGGGAGACGGGCCAAGCCUCUACGGGGGGCAGCAGGUGGGAAUAUUGCACCAAUGGGGAAACCCUGAGGGAGCAGCGCCGCGUGCGGGAUGACGGCCUUCGGGUUGUAAACCGCUUUCAGCCAUGACGCGGUAGUGGUAGAAGAAGCACCGGCUAACUACGUGCCAGCAGCCGCGGUAAUUC